rnacentral:rRNA from 1 species
AUACGGAGGAUGCAAGCGUUAUCCGGAUUUAUUAGGUUUAAAGGGUGUGUAGGCGGUAUUUUAAGUAAGUGGUGAAAUCUCGGAGCUUAACUUCGAAACUGCCAUUGAUACUGAAAUACUUGAGUAUAGUUGAGGUAGGCGGAAUAUGUAAUGUAGCGGUGAAAUGCAUAGAUAUUACAUAGAACACCGAUUGCGAAGGCAGCUUACUAAACUAUUACUGACGCUGAUGCACGAAAGCGUGGGGAGCGAACAGGAUUAGAUACCCUAGUAGUCC